rnacentral:snRNA from 1 species
UUACUUACCUGGAUGGGGUCAAUGGAUGAUCAAGAAGGUCCAUGGCCUAGGUUAGUGACCUCCAUUGCACUGAGGAGGGGUGCUCGCCUAAGAUCUACCCAAGUGGUGGAGUCUACAUCAUAAUUUGUGACAGGGGGACUUGCGUUCGCGCAGUCCCCGC